AUUGAACGCUGGCGGCAUGCCUAACACAUGCAAGUCGAACGGCAGCGCGGAUAGAGCUUGCUCUAUCUGGCGGCGAGUGGCGAACGGGUGAGUAAUAUGUAGGAAUCUGCCUAGAGGUGAGGGACAACUUGGGGAAACUCAAGCUAAUACCACAUAAGCCCUACGGGGGAAAGCAGGGGAUCUUCGGACCUUGCGCCUUAUGAUGAGCCUACAUCGGAUUAGCUUGUUGGUAGGGUAAAGGCCUACCAAGGCGACGAUCCGUAGCUGGUCUGAGAGGAUGACCAGACACACUGGGACUGAGACACGGCCCAGACUCCUACGGGAGGCAGCAGUGGGGAAUAUUGGACAAUGGGCGAAAGCCUGAUCCAGCCAUGCCGCGUGUGUGAAGAAGGUCUUAGGAUUGUAAAGCACUUUAAGUUGGGAGGAAGGGCAGUAAGUUAAUACCUUGCUGUUUUGACGUUACCGACAGAAUAAGCACCGGCUAACUCUGUGCCAGCCGCCGCAGUAACAC
rnacentral:rRNA from 1 species